GGGGCUUCGCUCCUUGGAGCCCUCGGUGGUUUAACGCACUUCUGUGCACUGUACCGAGAGAGCUAGCGGAUGCACUUUGUUUUCCACCCCAUGAUAGACUUCACAGUUGUGUUUAGACAUCCCUGUUUUAAUGCACCGCGUCCCUCAGAGCCACCGAAACGUCGGAGGACGAAACCGGUCCGGUAUAGGCCAGCGUUUCCUGCCCAUUUGCCACCGUUUAGCCAUAGAAACACUUGGGAUAAAUUUCCCUGCCCGCUGCUCACACACGUGCGCACCAUGGACUAGGGGCCGUUAUUCCCCACCCAGCCCGCGAGGGACCAGGGCUCAAUGGCCACCGUGGUCGCGCACCCUGCUUGCUUCCCCUCCGCUUCCCCGGGACCCGCCACGCCUCUCCGGACAGCUGCCCACUCACCUCAUGCCCGUUGCUGGCUGGGAUGAUUUCGGACUCGUUAACCAAAGAUGACUUGAUGUCGGCUAAGUCGCCCUCCUCUUCGGGAUGACUGAUCUCGGCGAAGAUCUUCUCCUUCUGGGGAUCGCCUUCGUCCUUGAAGGGGAUCAUCUCAUCGGUGGCGCAGAGUUCCGGGUCCCCCCCGCCGCCUCCUCCGGAAAGUUGGGGCAUCCCGGCGGCUGUGUAAUCUCCGCUCCGCUGCGGGAGCACUCCGAGACAGCAAGAAGGGAGGGUCGAUGUGAGGUGGGGGAGUUGGAAGACUGAGUGCGGGAGGACUGUGAAUGGAAGCCGGGUGGGCAAGCGAGGGGCCCACGGCUGGAGCAGCUGCAGGAGCCUCUGCGAUUGCCGCGCUUUCCCACUUAGAAGGACGCCGGCGCCCGGCCCUGGGGCGAAGGGCACCAGACUGCGAGGGCGGCAGCCGCCGGCGCCUCUGAGAGCGUCUACGCCGCUCCGCGUGCACUAGGCUAGGCUGCCAGGGCUGGGUGGCCACCCCACGCCGCACUCGUUGCUGGGGUCUGUGCUUCGAGGACACCGGUUCCGGAGGGGACACGACUUGCCAAAGUGCAAACGAGGGUCCCGUGGUGCGUCACCGUGCAAAACCUCUCCACGGAUUCCUCGGAUGCUGAUUUCGGUGAUUUGGGGUUUUGUUUUGUUUUGUUUUUGAGAAGAGGAGAGCUGGGCCAAGAGGCUCCCUUUGCCCCAGCGGAGGUACGAGAAGAAUCAGAAAAUACCGAAAAGUCCACUUCCUUCAGAGUAAACAAUAAAGAGCCACCGGGCUGCAGACGUCCGCGUUAGAGCUUCUUUCCUUCCCUUUCGCUUCGGUUUUCCUUCUGGAGGAGCAUUUAAUCUGCUGGAGGGGGAGGGGCGGAGGAGGAGGGGAGAAAAAGAGAAGUUUGCCAAGAAUAAAGUUUGUGAUGAUGAGCGCUGGGAAUCGGCGGUGGCUGGCACGGCGGAGUCUUGGGGAGUCACAGCAGGAGCUUCGGGCCCAAAUGUUCCAGCCCGCAGCUCGGGCCGAUACACACACUUACACACACACACACACACACACACACACACACACACACACACUCGAGCCCGAUCCCUCUUUGUUCCCGGCUCGAGUUUCUGCCUGGCUCGCCUCUCUCCCCGCCUCCCCUCGGUCAAAGCAAAGAGCUGCCGGUGGCCCCUCGGCUCCUCCGGGCAGACCGGCCGGGGAACACCCGGAGCGUAGCCGCUUGCAAGGCUCCGGGAAUGUCCGAAUGCCAGGGCCCACGAAAGCGCAGCCCGGUCCCUCCGGUGCGCGCUGCCCCGCAGGUGAGCGGUUGCGCCUUCCCACCGCUUCUCCUCGCCGCGCCUAGCCGGCGCUGCAAAGCUAUUCACUUGCGUCGCUUCUCCUCCCCCGCCCCUCCCCCGCCUCCUGCUCUCCUUGGCUGCCUGCUGGAGGGGUGGGGAGGAGGGAGUCUGUUAGGAGGAGGAGGAGAUCCAGGUUCUCUCCCCCNNNNNNNNNNNNNNNNNNNNNNNNNNNNNNNNNNNNNNNUGCCAGUCUUUCUUCAACCUCCUUCCCGCCGCCCACUCUAGCCCCCUCACUCAGGCAAGGGGAGGAAGAUGAAAGAGAAAGCCGCUGGCGCUGUGGUCGACACCACAUUGAUAGAUGCUCUGACAGAGGGAAUAAGGCGAGAAUUAGGGACUAGGGGAAGGAAAAGGAGAAAAUGUAACACAUUGCUCACCUAACCAGAGAGAAGAGAUUCAGCAAAGGCAAACAGAAGAGUUGUGACUCUACUAACCGUGAAUCACACACACUUCGGAGACAAGGGCACACCACCCUAGCGAAAAUAAAAUCUCCAGGCUUACCAGGGGGGAAGGAUCAGUAAGAAGGGUGUGGAUGAAGACUGAGCCUUAAAUAUCGCUUCUACGCUAUCACAUUCAUUGUGCCUUUAUCACCGAAUGAACGUGGGUUUUUGGAGAUUCUCGACUCAGCGUGUAGAGACCUCGUAGAAAAAGGAAAAUACAUCCCAAAAGGAGGGAGAAGAACAACCUAGGAGAGGCAGGCAGCACUGGGCAGUUGCUGACAUCCUGGAGACUCCGCUGAAAGGGACCUUUAAAGGAUGGAUGUAAAUACGAAUCAAACCUCAAAAAUUCUCCGGUUCCCACUGUCUCCUUGGUGCAUUUUGGACAGGACUUUUAAGGGCGACGCUUUGUGAAAGUCACUGUGUAAGUGGGGCUUAAGUUUGGAAACACAUUGUCUUUUAGCUCUCAACCCCUCCCCUCAAGUCAAAUAUUCAGGCAAAAUCAUUAGACCAGUGAGGCAGCCAUCUGUAGAACCUGGGAGCAGUAAACAGGAAGAAUUGUAUCUCCAUCUUACUUAAAUGGAAAAUAAGACUCC
ensembl:antisense Gm43352 predicted gene 43352